rnacentral:rRNA from 1 species
ACCGCAUGAAGGUAAACGGGUGGCGUCAAGCUGCAAGCCAAGAGAAUUCAGUCGGUCAGGUUGUGGUCAUGUGCCUAGCGCAUGCAUCAGUCGGUUGGACUAGUCUGUGCAUUAAAUGCAGACUUGCUUUGCAAGCUUUGCUGUCCACUUUGGUUGGUGGAGCAAACUGGCUCAACUGAUGGACUGCUUGAUCGAUGCACUUUCUCUACGGUGGACACCACGACCGGUGGCACUGCCAGUCUGCUUUGGCCAAGUCCUUGUUGCCUUCUUGUAAGGCAGUUUGGAUCACAUGCAAUUUCAGUGCACGGUGCUUGAGCGUUUCGGCGAUUAAGCAUGCUAUCGGACACUGGUUGUAAACGGACUUUGUGUGCGAUGAUUGCAAAUUGUUGUGUGCGUCUGGUGGGCCUUAGUGGUAUGAAUAACUGUGCAGGGCACUGUUGUUAUCGGUCUCUAAAUCUGGUUGCUGCCCACUUUGCAAGUGGUUGCGUGAGCGUUGUUCAAGCUUGCCUGUGCUUGGAUCUGAUUGUUGUGUUGCCUGCGUAAAGUGGGCCCGACUUUGGUCUGGUGCGGGAUGAGUUUGCAAUGGCGUUUGCCGUGGUGAUCAGUGUGGACCUAACAGUCUGUGGUGUAGUGGUAGACGAGCUACCCGACCCGUCUUGA